UACGUAGGUGGCGAGCGUUAUCCGGAAUUACUGGGCGUAAAGCGUACUCAGGCGGCUUCUUAAGUCUGACGUGAAAGCUCCCGGCUUAACUGGGAGAGGUCGUUGGAGACUGGGGGGCUUGAGGCGAUGAGAGGGGUGUAGAAUUCCCGGUGUAGUGGUGGAAUGCGUAGAUAUCGGGAGGAAUACCAGUGGCGAAAGCGACACCCGGGCAUUGGCCUGACUCUCAUGUACGAAAGCGUGGGGAGCAAACGGG
rnacentral:rRNA from 1 species